GAAGAGAAUAGAUGAGACUUAGGUUGAAGCCGAUUUCUAUAGGACUUUAAUUAUAUUUAGAGAUAAGAGAGAGAGAGAGAGAGAGAGAGACAAAUUGAAAGGAUGAGCCCUUGGGAUGUAAAAUGGAGAGAUUUUAGGGAAAGGGAGAAGUGAUGGGUGCAAUAUAUUUGCUGGUUAGGAACUAAAGUCGAGUGCGGUAAGUGAAAAAUUUUGGUUUACAUUGGUCAUCUUUUGGGAGAUUUAAUUUGAAUCAGAAUUAUGCUUUGGAUUUUAUACAUAUCGAAUUUAAUUGUCUUGAAUUGAUGGUAUGAGGAUAGAGGUGCACAUGCAUUUCCAAGUUAAUUAGUAUCUAAGAAAAAUAAAUUGUGUAUUUAUUUUUUAUCAAAACUCCCCUAAUAGUAACACUCGUCAAAAUGAAAAGGGCCUUGCAACAGACGAAUGCCCAAAUUAAAGAGGCUUAGUACAUAGUACUUCUAUGUUACUCUCGUGGUAUAUUUGUCUCCAGGUAAUCAUAAGUUCAUAAGUCCUCUUCUUACAUGGGAUAUUUCAUCAACAAUGUGGAGCAGGGGCCAUUGGCAGUUAGCCAAACCAGAUGCCCAUGAAAUAACAUUGUGGGAGUCCCUUGCUAUGGUGAGAGCUUGGCCCCAAGAGUUGUCAAGUAGUUUGAGGCCCUCAAGAAAUAUGAUCUAGCAUCUGUUGAUUGGAAAUCGGAGUGACCUAUGGACUUCGAGAAAGAGGUCAAAGUGGAGCCUUUGUGGUCGCUAAAAAGACCUAUACUUGAUGGCCCUGGGCUGCCUAUGGAACAACCAUCAAGGUUGAGCUUUACGCGGCCCAACUCUGGAGGAAGCCACAAGGAGGCUCGUGAGUUACUCGUGUAGAAAAGGAGAUUGUACUAGUGUAGGUGGAAGGCUGAAGGGGGGAAGCCUUUGAACCGCUUGUGUUUAGUAGCCGAAAAGAUAACUGCCACUUUGAUUAUAUCAAACAAGGAUUCAAUGGUAGAGAACUGUCCUCUGAAGAUAUGAUUGUUACGUUCUAUCCAAAUUUCCCAAAUGAGGGCUGCCAUUGAAGCCUUCCACAAUAUGAUACCUGAAGAGGCCUAGGGGUAGAGUUGGAGAGAGGAAAAGAGAUUGGGAAUAUUUUUUGGGGUCACCCAUUGUCAUUUGAAGAGCUGAAGAAAUGCUCCCCAGAAGGAAUGGGCCAAGGGACAAUAUAUAAAGAGGUAAGGGUUAGUUUCCUCGGCUUCUCGACACAUGAUACAUCAAUUAGGUAAAGCCAAGCCUCUCUUUUGCAGUUGGUCAAUAGUUAAUGUUCUUCGAAAGAGAGCAAUCUAAUUGAUUGGCCUGUGGAUGCAUGUACAAUGAAGGUUUCACUUUGUGGGUGUGUGGAUUGGCGUGUAUUUCUACUCAUUCAUUCUUGCUUGGUCAUUCAUCUGACUCUGAGAUAUGAGUUUGGCUGCUUUGCUUUAGUAUCGAAUGGGCUAUGAAGAUUCCUAUGUGUAUCGAAUGGCGUAUGAAGAUUUCUGAAUGGUAAUUUUAGAAACCUAUAAUCCAAAAUUUUAAAAUACAUGCGUCUUUUCCUUUCUAUAAAACUGGUGGAGGGCACUAAAUAUAAUUGUGCAUGCUCCAAAUUUUCAAAUUUCAAGACUUCUUAUUUUAUUUUUACUAAUCAAAUCUACC
rnacentral:lncRNA from 1 species